rnacentral:rRNA from 1 species
GACGAACGCUGGCGGCGUGCUUAACACAUGCAAGUCGAACGAAGAGCGAUGGAAGCUUGCUUCUAUCAAUCUUAGUGGCGCACGGGUGAGUAACGCGUAAUCAACCUGCCCUUCAGAGGGGGACAACAGUUGGAAACGACUGCUAAUACCGCAUACGAUCUAAUCUCGGCAUCGAGGAUAGAUGAAAGGUGGCCUCUACAUGUAAGCUCUCACUGAAGGAGGGGAUUGCGUCUGAUUAGCUAGUUGGAGGGGGAACGGGCCACCAAGGCGAUGAUCAGUAGCCGGUCUGAGAGGAUGAACGGCCACAUUGGGACUGAGACACGGCCCAGACUCCUACGGGAGGCAGCAGUGGGGAAUCUUCCGCAAUGGACGAAAGUCUGACGGAGCAACGCCGCGUGAGUGAGGACGGCCUUCGGGUUGUAAAGCUCUGUUAAUCGGGACGAAAGGCCUUCUUGCGAAUAGUGAGAAGGAUUGACGGUACCGGAAGAGAAAGCCACGGCUAACUACGUG